rnacentral:misc_RNA from 1 species
CGGGCGGCAAUGAGGAGAGUUAUGAAUGCUGAAGAGGAAAUGAUUUCGUUUCCAACAUUGAUUAAUGUGAAGAGUGAUGAAAAGAAGAAAAAAGCUGUUUAUGAUCUUAAAGAGGCCAUUCGGCUUGUAAAGGCUAAUGCCAAGAAGAAAUUUGAUGAAACUCUGGAAGCUCAUGUUGUUUUGACUCCUGAUAUGCGUCGAAGUGAUCUGAAACUUGAAGGUACAGUGGCUGUUCCUCAUGGGUUUGGAAAGGUAUAUCGGAUUGCUGUUUUUGCUGAAGGAGCUGCUGCUGAUGAAGCCCGAG